GACGAACCGUGCGAACGUUGUUCGGAAUCACUGGGCUUAAAGGGCGCGUAGGCGGGCUGUCACGUCUGGGGUGAAAUGCCGCGGCUCAACCGUGGAACUGCCUUAGAUACUGACGGCCUCGAGGGAGGUAGGGGCGUGCGGAACUGUAGGUGGAGCGGUGAAAUGCGUUGAUAUCUGAAGGAACAUCAGUGGCGAAAGCGACUUCCUGGACGAAUACUGACGCUCAUGUGCGAAAGCGUGGGGAGCAAACAGG
rnacentral:rRNA from 1 species